UCCAGACUCCUACGGGAGGCAGCAGUGGGGGAUAUUGCACAAUGGGGGGAACCCUGAUGCAGCGACGCCGCGUGGGUGAAGGAGCGUUUCGGCGCGUAAAGCCCUAUCGGCAGGGAAGAAGGAGGACGGUACCUGAAGAAGAAGCCCCGGCUAACUACGUGCCAGCAGCCGCGGUAAUACGUAGGGGGCAAGCGUUAUCCGGAUUUACUGGGUGUAAAGGGGGCGCAGACGGCGAUGCAAGCCAGGAGUGAAAGCCCGGGGCCCAACCCCGGGACUGCUCUUGGAACUGCGUGGCUGGAGUGCAGGAGGGGCAGGCGGAAUUCCUGGUGUAGCGGUGAAAUGCGUAGAUAUCAGGAGGAACACCGGUGGCGAAGGCGGCCUGCUGGACGAUGACUGACGUUGAGGCUCGAAAGCGUGGGGAGCAAACAGGAUUAGAUACCCGCGUA
rnacentral:rRNA from 1 species